GCGAGGUGACUGUGGUUCCCGAUGAUGUACAAUGUUCUGUAUCAAGAACCAGAAGAGAGAAGCUGCUAGACUCCAAACACAAAGAAAAGAUGAAGAAAUGUAAAGGCUGAUUGGCUGUUAAGAAACACUUUAGAAGAAAACCUAAAAUGAACUGUUUCGGUUUCUUGAUGGUGCUCCCAGAGAAACGUCCCAGAGAGCUUUCCAGAUGAAAUUCAUUCAGUGAUCAGCCAGAUCACAGCUAGUGUCAUUUCUGCCACUGUUGGGAGUUUCUUUUUAGAUUCAUCUGAUCUGCUGAUUAAUGCAAAGAUUGGGUUGUUGCUGAAAAAUGGAAAAGAGUCAAGACCACCACUCACCACAGAUGCUGAAGAAGUCCACCUUUGUUCAUUGACCACCACCAUCC